rnacentral:lncRNA from 1 species
CUUCUUUGUGGAGUCCUUUCCAUGAGCCUUGAGCUUCAGAGAUAGUUUGUACUGCGAAUCUAUGCAGAAUCCUACAAAUCCUGUGAAACUGAGACUGUGAUGAUGUCUCCAAGCCUCAAACCCUGCAAGCUGGGGCUGAGCCUUUGUGUUUUAUGAUCUCCAGCCUUUCUCCAAUGUUCUGCAGUGACUUCCAGACCAUCAUUUUGGGUGUAC